AUUGAACGCUGGCGGCAGGCCUAACACAUGCAAGUCGAACGAGAGGCGGACGGGAGAGUAAUGUAUGUGCAACUGCCUGAUGGAGGGGGAUACCAACUGGAAACGAUAGCUAAUAACGCAUACCAUCAGAUGUGCCCAGAUGGGAUUAGCGUGUUGGUGGGGUAACGGCUUACCAAGGCGACGAUCCCUAGCUGGUCGGAGAGGAGGACCAGCCACACUGGAACUGAGACACGGCCCAGACUCCGACGUGAGGCAGCAGUGGGGAAGAUUGCACAAUGGGCGAAAGCCUGAUGCAGCAAUGCCGCGUGUAUGAAGAAGGCUUUCGGGUUGUAAAGUACUGUCAGCGGGGAGGCGUUACCUACAGAAGAAGCACCGGCUAACUCCGUGCCAGCAGCCGCGGUAAUUC
rnacentral:rRNA from 1 species